UGGGGCUCUGAGGGUCUGGGGCUUGGCCUUGGAUUUGGCUUUUCAUUCCAUUCAAAGGGCUGCCCACUUCAUUACAGGCUGCUUGGAGAAAAGAAUGUCACAGACUCUGUUUUCCCUGCUUCAAAGUGUAGCCAGCAGCUCUAGGCACAAGGUUACCAUCGGACCUUACUCCAGCUGUGGCUCAUGUACCGAUGGGCUUGCAUUCUGAAAAUGGUUCAAGAUGGUCUGGGCUCCAGAGACACAUAGGCUAGGAGGCAAUGAAACAGAACAUCAGAAAAAUUAGGUGACUUGCUGGUGGCCACAGUGGAUGAAGAGCAGAAGGUUGAUUCCAUGCCCUCCUAGGUGACAAGCCAGCACUCCUGCCCACACUCGGAAAGUAACCUACCCAGGGGUAGGUGAGUGGUUGGAAGAGCCAGGAGCCAGUUUGUGCCACAUGUUAUCACCCAGGGCCAUGCAGACUUCUGUGACAAGCAGUGAAGAUAGACUAGUAUUGUUCUCCUGAUGAAGUAAAACAGCUCGUGGGACGCACAGGAAGGGAACAUUAAUCCACACUGGUGAUAUGGUCUUCCCACAAAUGCCAGAACUGUCAAAAAAGAAGACAAGAUAAUCUCAUUAAAGUGAAGUCUGUUGUUUUCCCCUAGGAGGGGAGCUGAAGGAGGCGGGCAACCCAACAGUUCUUGAGAGCUACUUCCUCUAGGAUUCUUCUCUCACACAGUUCUGUUCUUCAUAAAUCACA